AAACCACGUACUGUGAUCCUCUUGCAAAUAACAAGCAGGAAGGGAUGUCUCAUGAAUAUGCUAGAAAUUCAUCCGGCCGGUGGUGCAGGGGACUGGAGUCAUUAAGACAGAAACUAACAACGGGGCACCUAACACCACCCUCCGCUGGCUUCCAAAGGCAUGCUGUCAGGAACACGUAUGUGGGCGUGUGUUUCAUGCUCACACGUGCAUGUAAAUAGGCACGUACACGUUGAAUCAAUAAAAUAAAGUGAUGUCUGGCACAGA